rnacentral:rRNA from 1 species
CCUACGGGGGGCAGCAGUGGGGAAUAUUGCACAAUGGGGGAAACCCUGAUGCAGCGACGCCGCGUGAGUGAAGAAGUAUUUCGGUACGUAAAGCUCUAUCAGCAGGGAAGAAACUGACGGUACCUGACUAAGAAGCCCCGGCUAACUACGUGCCAGCAGCCGCGGUAAUACGUAGGGGGCAAGCGUUAUCCGGAUUUACUGGGUGUAAAGGGAGCGUAGACGGCAGCGCAAGUCUGGAGUGAAAUCCCAUGGCUUAACCAUGGAACUGCUUUGGAAACUGUGCAGCUAGAGUGCAGGAGAGGUAAGCGGAAUUCCUAGUGUAGCGGUGAAAUGCGUAGAUAUUAGGAGGAACACCAGUGGCGAAGGCGGCUUACUGGACUGUAACUGACGUUGAGGCUCGAAAGCGUGGGGAGCAAACAGGAUUAGAUACCCCAGUAGUC